UACAAACACCGUGGUACUCAACUCUGUCACAACCAGCUGACAAUGAACAUAGCAUAUUAUAUGUUAUUGUCAAUGGAGAAUGUAGCACAAUCAAUAUCGGAUCACAUUUGUGCGCAACAAACGACAAGUCGUGGUACAUCGAGAACUUCAACUAGAGUUGGGCCUAGUUCUGCUUCUGGUGCCUCAAGAUAUGUAACCUAAGAUCGUAUGGAAGAAAUGUUGGAUAUGUACAAGCAGCAUACGAUAUUAGAUAUGUCCAGUUUAUGUGGCAACUUGAAGGCAGAAUUUGUUGAAGAAUCAAGAGCCCUAAACCAUGCGAUCCUUGAAAACCAAAAGUUGCUGUUCGAACAACAGGAUAAAUCGUUGCAAGAUUACAUGUAAUAUGGUAUAUAUUCGUACAUGGAUAAUUCUCUAUCUAGUUUGUUUCACAGUGAUAUUGUCCAGGAAUCGUAAAAAUAAGAAGCCCAUUAUCAGGCAGUUUUCCAAAAGUAAGAAGAAUUAUUCCAACGGUAACAAGAGCACAUGCGGUGUUAUGUUGAUACCAAUUUAUGUUCCGUGAGAUCAUACAUUGACGAAUAUAAUGAGAAUGUACAGAACAAAUUAUCUAACUGGAAAUCCAACAUGAAAGCCAUUAUAGGUUCUAUGCAGCAAGAUGGUGCUUCCCAUGCAAGUCCAAAUCCUAUUGAUCACUCACAGGAGACAUUAAAGUCUCAACAAAUCGAACGUGUUGAAAGGUGGAAAAGAGAAAGGGAAAAGAAGAGGAAGUACAUACAGUCUUCAUCAUCGACAGGUCGUCCCUUUGAAGACUACGACAUGAAAUACAAAACAAUUAGAGAUUUUAUAGCAACAGAUCAACCGGGGCAACAAAGUUAACUCAUUCUUACUAGUUCGAAUGCUAAACAUUAUUACGGCAAUACCAAAAAUUCUCUGUUGAUUUAUUUAAUACUAAUGUAAAUUAUGUUAUACAGUGCAUAUUUGGACGAUGGCAGUGAAAAUGUCUACGGAAUGGACAUGCUGAGAACAUUAAUUGAUCCGACGAAAGAUCUGAAUAUUGCGGUAAGGGAAGGCUAGCAAUCACAAUCAAUUUGAUUUCGUAGUUAAUAUGUCUAAUAAAUGUUACAUGUAUUUAUUUCAUUAGCAUAUUUAGUUGGAGUUGAAGUUAUUGAGGCGGCGUAUGAAUGAAGGUUGUACUCUCAUCAAUAAAUAAUAUGCAAUUUUGGACUUUCAAUUUGAAGAGGAGUGUUCUCAUCAAAUAAGGUAGCAAUUGGAUUUUCGAAUAGAAAAUCGGAGAGAUGAACCGAAUGGAACUCGCCUACAAGACUAUGUCAACUAUAAAUUACCUGUAGAUGGUCGUCUGUGGAUGGGGUGCAAGUAUUUAUUAAUUUCAAACUCAUAUCCGAGCAAUGAAUGUUAUCUUUUUAUGGUCAAUAUUUUUGAAUGGAAAUUUCAGAUAUACAACUGCAGCAAUAAUGUUCACACAUCAGAUGCAAUCAAGGUACACGCAAAAGCAAAAUGCACUAUGGUUAAAGGAUUAUUGCACUGUUCACCCCUUUCUAACAGACGAGAUAUAAAUAAACAUAGCAAUGAACGAAUGAAGUAGGAGAUUAUACCUUAUCUAUCAUAUGCAAAUAAUGAGUGAGCAUUUCAACUCUUGUUAUUUACUCGUAUAUGUCACAUUAGACUAACGUAAAAACAUUUCUUGUACAGGUUAAAUUGCGUAAUGUUUGUACUCAAAUAUAUAGGAUGCUUCGUUCUAGGGCAUCCAAUAGAAACAGUUUCAGCGGAUAGGAUGUCACUAUACAGAAGAAAGAUUACGGUUGAUCUUUGUCAGAACGAAUACUUUCUUCAUCCUCGAUAGUGAAAAAUUCGUAGUGGCUAGCUGUACUUUGAUUAUGUGAUCGUUGAUUUUAUUUUAUCAAUAGUGUUCAUGAANGACAUG
rnacentral:lncRNA from 1 species